AAGAACUGCAAAACACAUAGUCUCAUUCCUCAGUGUACAAGGAGCUGCGACAAGGUCCUUCCAUCGUGCUCUUCCUGCCCUGGAGCCUGCUGACUAUGGACUGAAACCGUGAGCCAAAAUAACCCUCUCCUCCUCACAGCUGCAGGGGUCAGGUACUGUGUCUCACGACGAGGGAGUGACGAAGACACGUUACUGAUAGCCAACCAUGGUCUGAGAAUAUUAAGUGGAAAAUUCCAGAAAUAAAUCAUCAUAACUGCACUGGGAAGUGUUUCUGGAGUUCAAUGUUGUCUGCCUCUAUGUUGCAUCCUGGAGAAAGAUCUACAGAAUCUUACAGGUAUGUAAGGACAACUGCCUCAGGCUGGGGAGAGGAGAAGAAAGAUGUUUUGAGCUGUCUCUGAAUAGAAGGAAGAACUCCUGAAGACCCAGCCAAUGAAGAGACAGCCUUUCAAUGAUCACUCCCACCUCUGAAGGGUUGGAAGGAGCUCAGCCCUGCAGACUUGACUGACAGCCCCAGCAGCACACAUGACUUCUAGAAUAUUCUGCGGCAGUGCUGGUUUUGGGAACCCAGCAGGAAUGUCUCCCCAGAUUCACGUAGACUUACCUGAAACCUAAGAGUGUGACCUGAAAUAAGGCGUUCACCAUCUUAAUCAAGGAAGGAUGAGGUCACAUUGCAUUAGAGUGGUCCCACAUCCAGUGACUUUACCUUACAAGUAAAGAAAGCGGAGCCCCCGAGACUCACGGAGGAGAACACUACGUGCCCACUGAGAGAAAAAUCAGAGUGAGUCUACAAGCCAUGGGUUACCAGCUGCCAUGGGAAUGGAGCUCACAGAAGCAAGGAAGAAUACUCCCCUCCCCUGGAGGCAAGGCAGCCAAUGGCUUGGUGUCGGACUUUCAACCUCCAACUGUGAGAAGAUGUUUCUGUUGUUUUAAGCCAUCACUUAGUGGUACUUUGUCACCACUGCCUUGGGACAGCAUUGUGUCCUUCAUCCUCUUUGUCUUUCCGCAUCCCAAGAGGGGCAAGCGUGGGCAGGGAAUAGGCACAAUCAGGUUCCUAUGCUCCAAUUUAGAUUUCAUGUUUACUACACAUAUAAAUAAAACCAAAUAAAACACGAUGUGUAGUUAAAUUUGAAUUUUGUG